rnacentral:lncRNA from 1 species
AUGCUGUCCUGUACUUGCCAGAUCAGCCAGCACCACGGCUCAUUGUGCCCUCACCUGCUGGGACUUAUCCUGUCUUCACAUUCAUGGUGGCCAUCUCAACGGAGACUUGUGAUGUUCAGGCACUGUCCCAGCUCAGUAUUAGCAGUAAGAACUAGGGAACUGACUCAACCCCUCAAAGGCUAUUAUUGUGGCUGCCUUCAGCCCACCUCAGCUCAGCUCAGCUCAGGUAGGCCCACCUCAACACAGGUCCAGAUCCUUUUAGACCCUUUCUUUCUCCAAGGGUUUCUAAUAAGCUCACUGAAGAUCUUGCUUCUUGGUUUUAGAAUUCACCAGCUAGAGAGCAGCCAGUUGGAGGAUACCCACACACAUGAAAUGCUGCAAGAUUUUUAGAACUAUCAAAGAUAAAAUGCAACGAAUGUAGAAAUCUAUGCCGGGAUGUGGCGCUAUUUGUUGCUGCUCUGAGCUUGCAUGGAUUCACUGCAUCUGUAGAACAGACUCCUGCCCGUGAAUGUUGGCUGAUACACUUCAUUUUGGUUAGAAAAAUCAAUAUAUUUCUGAGAAACUGACAACUAGAAGUUCAAGUUUUAGAAGUUCAAGUUGUUGCAAUGAACACCGUCCUCUGCACAGUUCUGCGUCUUCAGAAAAGAGGAACAGAAUUAUUCAGAAAUCUGCCAAAUGGUAUUGCUGUCUUACAUAUUUCACUUUUGUUUUGCAAAUCCGUCUUGCCUGCUGCCACCUCACCCGCCAACAGAGUCCUGAACUCUUAGUUAUGCUCUCUAACAUUUGCCAAAGAAAAGUCAAAAUAGUAAAUCAUAAGGUGAAUGUGGGAGCUUAUUUACCAAGCGCAGUUAAUCCAUAAUCCAGUGAGGUGGGCAUUUCUUGGCCACCAUUUUUUCAUUAAGCAAAAGACCUCUAAGAUCAUCUAGUCUAACCAUCUACCUACCACCAAUUUUGCCCAGUAAACCAUGUUCUUUCGUACGACAUCUGUAUGAUCUUGAACACCUCCAGGAUGGUGACUGCACCACUUCCCUGGGCAGCUCAUAUCAGUGCCUGACUGCUCUUUCUGAGAAGAAUUUUUUCAAAUAUCCGACAUGAACCUCCCCUGGUGCAACUUGAAGCCAUUCCCUCUCAUCCUGUCACUGUUACCUGCAAGAAGAGGCCAAACUCUACCUUGCCACAAUUCCCUUUCAGGUAGCUGUAGAAGGAAAUAAUGUUUCACCUGAGCCUCCUCUUCUCCUAACUACACAUGUGCUCAACAGCAAGCUGUUGGCAUGGGAGCCACCAUAACACACAUCUCUGUUGAGAACUUGCACAUUUUUUGGUGUAUCUGAGCUGCAGGUUUUGUAUAUUCUUGCUACAGUUUUUCACACUGUAGACUGUAAAAUAAUCUCCUGAGGUCUGCAAGGUGUGUACCAAGACUAUUGCAUUCAUUAAGGUAAUGAGACAUAGCAUGUACAAAGUAUAUGCAAGGCAUACAGUCUGGAAAACAAAUGGAAAAUAAAAGUUUGGGUCUCAAAUUUUCUUUGGGUCUC